rnacentral:rRNA from 1 species
UCCGUGGCCACAGCGGAGGAGACACACCCGGCCACAUUCCGAACCCGGAAGUUAAGCCCCCCAGCGCCGAUGGUACUGCACAGGCAACCGUGUGGGAGAGUAGGACACCGCGGAAC